rnacentral:tRNA from 1 species
GGCUCGUUAGCUCAGCGGUUAGAGCACCCAUCUGAUCUGUUAGUAGUGGCGGUCGGGGGUUCAAAUCCCUCACGAGCCU